rnacentral:rRNA from 1 species
AUUGAACGCUGGCGGCAGGCCCAACACAUGCAAGUCGAACGGUAGCACAGAGAGCUUGCUCUCGGGUGACGAGUGGCGGACGGGUGAGUAACGUCUGGGAAACUGCCCGAUGGAGGGGGAUAACUACUGGAAACGGUAGCUAAUACCGCAUAACGUCGCAAGACCAAAGUGGGGGACCUUCGGGCCUCACACCAUCGGAUGUGCCCAGAUGGGAUUAGCUAGUAGGUGGGGUAAUGGCUCACCUAGGAGACGAUCCCUAGCUGGUCUGAGAGGAUGACCAGCCACACGGGAACUGAGACACGGUCCAGACUCCGACGGGAGGCAGCAGUGGGGAAUAUUGCACAAGGGGCGCAAGCCUGAUGCAGCCAUGCCGCGUGUAUGAAGAAGGCCUUCGGGUUGUAAAGUACUUUCAGCGGGGAGGAAGGCGGUGAAGUUAAUAGCUUCACCGAUUGACGUUACCCGCAGAAGAAGCACCGGCUAACUCCGUGCCAGCCGCCGCCGUAA